ACCCAGCACCAUAUAUUCACCUUCAUCCAUCCCAUUCUUGGUGGCUUCCAUACUAUUGAGACUUGGGAGUGAUUGGACACUGCUUGGAUGGAAUGAAUCCGUUGUUAUGUAACAAAAAUGAAUGACAUGAGAGCUUGGGGCAUAUGAUUAGAUAGAAAUUCGUUGAGGAAUAAUAGCGUUCUCAUCCUGAGUCAAAGAUAUACAUAUACAUUUCAUCAUUUUUCGACUAUAUCAUGUUAUAACAAAAACCAACCCUGUCUCUUCUUCAAUCAAGGAAUGAAAGCACAGAAGUUCA
rnacentral:lncRNA from 1 species